rnacentral:rRNA from 1 species
UACGGAGGGUGCAAGCGUUAUCCGGAUUCACUGGGUUUAAAGGGUGCGUAGGCGGGUAGGUAAGUCAGUGGUGAAAUCCCCGAGCUCAACUUGGGAACUGGCCGUUGACUACUAUCUAUCUUGAAUGUUGUGGAGGUGAGCGGAAUAUGUCAUGUAGCGGUGAAAUGUCUUAGAUAUGACAUAGAACACCAAUUGCGAAGGCAGCUCGCUAACACAAUUAUUGACGCUGGAGGCACGAAAGCGUGGGGAUCAAACAGGA